rnacentral:rRNA from 1 species
AAAAAGUAGCGAAGCACACAGACCAUCUGUCGAGAAAAGCCGCUAUUGUGUAUACCGUACCCGUACCGUAAACCGACACAGGUGGAUGAGGAGAGAAUCCUAAGGCCGGCGGGAGAAGCAUUGUUAAGGAACUCGGCAAAAUGACCCCGUAACUUCGGGAGAAGGGGUGCUCACGCAAGUGAGCCGCAGAGAACUGGCCCAAGCAACUGUUUAGCAAAAACACAGGUCUAUGCAAAACCGAAAGGUGAGGUAUAUGGGCUGACGCCUGCCCGGUGCUGGAAGGUUAAGAGGAGAUGUUAGAGCAAUCGAAGCAUUGAAUUUAAGCCCCAGUAAACGGCGGCCGUAACAAUAACGGUCCUAAGGUAGCGAAAUUCCUUGUCGGGUAAGUUCCGACCCGCACGAAAGGCGUAAUGAUUUGGGCACUGUCUCGACAAUGCACCCGGUGAAAUUGAAAUACCAGUGAUGCUGGUUACCUGCGCCAGGACGGAAAGACCCCAUGGAGCUUUACUCUAGCUUGAUACUGGGAUUCGGUAUUGCAUGUACAGGAUAGGUGGGAGACUAAGAGGUGAUGACGCCAGUUGUCACGGAGUCGAUGUUGGGAUACCACCCCUGCAGUACUGGGUUUCUAACCUGCGGCCGUGACCCGGCCGGGGGACAAUGUCUGGUGGGGAGUUUGACUGGGGCGGUCGCCUCCGAAAGGGUAUCGGAGGCGCUCAAAGGUUCCCUCAGAAUGGUUGGAAACCAUUCGAAGAGUGCAAAGGCAGAAGGGAGCUUGACUGCGACACCGACGGGUGGAGCAGGUACGAAAGUAGGACUUAGUGAUCCGGUGGUAUGAAAGUGGGAUUGCCAUCGCUCAACGGAUAAAAGCUACCCUGGGAUAACAGGCUUAUCACUCCCAAGAGUUCACAUCGACGGAGUGGUUUGGCACCUCGAUGUCGGCUCAUCGCAUCCUGGGGCUGUAGUAGGUCCCAAGGGUUGGGCUGUUCGCCCAUUAAAGCGGUACGCGAGCUGGGUUCAGAACGUCGUGAGACAGUUCGGUCCCUAUCCGGCGUGGGCGUAGGAUAUCUGAGAGGAGCUGUCCUUAGUACGAGAGGACCGGGAUGGACUGACCUCUGGUGCAUCGGUUGAGCCACCAGGCUCAUGGCCGAGUAGCCAAGUCGGGACGGGAUAAACGCUGAAGGCAUCUAAGCGUGAAGCCCCCCUCAAGAUGAGAUAUCCCAUAGAGUAAUCUAGUAAGACCCCUUGAAGACGACGAGGUAGAUAGGCAGAAGGUGGAAGUGUGGUGACAUAUGGAGCUGAUCUGUACUAAUAGGUCGAGGGCUUAGC